AGAAAUAUACAACAAACGUGACAGAAAAUCCCCAAGGAUUAAUGAUUUCAGCUCAACCUGAUUCCAAAUGUAACUACUCACUGGUGGUACCCGUGACAGCUCAAGUAAACUACAUGUUUUCGGUACAAGCAUUCAACACAUACGAUGGAAACACUUCUCCCAUGAGUUAUACCACACACACCGGAGAGUCCGGUCCCGUGGCUAGUUUGGAUGUAUUGGAUACAACAGCAGAUUCCAUCACAAUGCAAUGGGCCAGACCAUCACUUCCAAAUGGCAACAUCCUCGGGUAUCUGAUCAAUGUUACAUCAGACGGCAACGGUAGCCAAGUUAUAAAUGUAAC